UACGUAGGGUGCGAGCGUUAAUCGGAAUUACUGGGCGUAAAGCGUGCGCAGGCGGCGCCGCAAGUCAGGCGUGAAAUCCCCGAGCUUAACUUGGGAAUGGCGCUUGAAACUACGGUGCUGGAGUGUGGCAGAGGGAGGUGGAAUUCCACGUGUAGCGGUGAAAUGCGUAGAGAUGUGGAGGAACACCGAUGGCGAAGGCAGCAUCCUGGGCCAACACUGACGCUCAUGCACGAAAGCGUGGGGAGCAAACAGG
rnacentral:rRNA from 1 species